rnacentral:rRNA from 1 species
UACCAGCACCCCGAGUGGUCGGGACGUUUAUUGGGCCUAAAGCAUCCGUAGCCGGUUCUACAAGUCUUCCGUUAAAUCCACCUGCUUAACCGGGGAACUGCGUCCGAUACUGGAUGGCUUGAGUUUGGGAGAGGGAUGCGGAAUUCCAGGUGUAGCGGUGAAAUGCGUAGAUAUCUGGAGGAACACCGGUGGCGAAGGCGGCAUCCUGGACCAACACUGACGCUGAGUGAGCGAAAGCCAGGGGAGCAAACGGG